UGGGGAAUAUUGCACAAUGGAGGGAACUCGGAUGCAGCGACGCCGCGUGAACGAAGAAGGCUGUCGAGUCGUAAAGUUCUUUUAUAUGGGAAGAUAAUGACGGUACCAUAAGAAAAAGACCCGGCUAACUACGUGGCAGCAGCCGCGGUAAUACGUAGGGGGCUAGCGUUGUCCGGAAUCACUGGGCGGAAAGGGUUCGCAGGCGGAAAUGCAAGUCAGGUGUCAAAGGCAGUAGCUUAACUACUGUAAGCAUUUGAAACUGCAUAUCUUGAGAAGAGUAGAGGUAAGUGGAAUUUUUAGUGUAGCGGUGAAAUGCGUAGAUAUUAAAAAGAAUACCGGUGGCGAGGCGACUUACUGGGCUCAUUCUGCCGCUGAGGAACGACAGCGUGGGUAGCAAACAGG
rnacentral:rRNA from 1 species